UACGAAGGGGGCUAGCGUUGCUCGGAAUCACUGGGCGUAAAGGGCGCGUAGGCGGGCUCUUAAGUCAGGGGUGAAAGCCCAAGGCUCAACCCUGGAAUUGCCUUCGAUACUGUUUGGCUAGAGACCGGAAGAGGUAAGUGGAACUGCGAGUGUAGAGGUGAAAUUCGUAGAUAUUCGGAAGAACACCAGUGGCGAAGGCGGCUCACUGGACGACUGUUGACGCUGAGGUGCGAAAGCGUGGGGAGCAAACAGG
rnacentral:rRNA from 1 species